CUGCACUUUGGGCCUCCCGAGCAGCUGCAGGUGGGCCUGGGGCAGGGCUGGAGCGGCCCACAGAGGGUUUGUGUUCGAGGCUGUGUCACAGUGUCCUGUGUUCGGCGGCGGGACCCAGCUGACCGUCCUCGGUCAGCCCACGUCCGCACCCUCGGUCACGCUCUUCCCGCCCUCCUCUGA